rnacentral:rRNA from 1 species
UACAGAGGGUGCUAGCGUUAAUCGGAAUUACUGGGCGUAAAGGGUGUGUAGGUGGUUGGAUAAGUUAGAUGUGAAAUCCCCGGGCUUAACCUGGGAACUGCGUUUAAAACUGUUCGACUAGAGUGCUGUAGAGGAUAGUGGAAUUUCCAGUGUAGCGGUGAAAUGCGUAGAUAUUGGAAGGAACACCAGUGGCGAAGGCGACUAUCUGGACAGACACUGACACUCAGACACGAAAGCGUGGGGAGCAAACAGG